UGCCCAACAACUCCUAUCCCUACCUCCUCGUGGUACUGGCCGGGGUACGAGUAACUUUGGGGAAAAUCGGGUAACCAACCCCCGGUGCACCGCGGUGGGAGCUUUGGUCGUAUGCUGACAGGGAAGG
rnacentral:ribozyme from 1 species